rnacentral:rRNA from 1 species
UCAGGAUGAACGCUGGCGGCGUGCUUAACACACGCAAGUCGAACGAAGCACCUCUAAUCGAAGAUUGAGAAAGCUUGCUUUGAUUGAUUCACCUUGAGGUGACUGAGUGGCGGACGGGUGAGUAACGCGUGGGUAACCUACCCUAUACAGGGGGAUAACAGUUGGAAACGAUUGCUAAUACCGCAUAAGCGCACAGGACCGCAUGGUCUAGUGUGAAAAACUCCGGUGGUAUAGGAUGGACCCGCGUCUGAUUAGCUAGUUGGUGAGGUAACGGCUCACCAAGGCGACGAUCAGUAGCCGACCUGAGGGGGUGACCGGCCACAUUGGGACUGAGACACGGCCCAAACUCCUACGGGAGGCAGCAGUGGGGAAUAUUGCACAAUGGGCGAAAGCCUGAUGCAGCGACGCCGCGUGAACGAAGAAGUAUUUCGGUAUGUAAAGUUCUAUCAGCAGGGAAGAAAAAUGACGGUACCUGACUAAGAAGCUCCGGCUAAAUACGUGCCAGCCGCGGC